UGGGGAAUAUUGGACAAUGGGCGAAAGCCUGAUCCAGCCAUGCCGCGUGUGUGAAGAAGGUCUUCGGAUUGUAAAGCACUUUAAGUGGGGAGGAAGGGCAUUAACCUAAUACGUUAGUGUUUUGACGUUACGGACAGAAUAAGCACCGGCUAACUGUGUGCCAGCAGCCGCGGUAAUACAGAGGGAGCAAGCGUUAAUCGGAAUUACUGGGCGUAAAGCGCGCGUAGGUGGUUUGUUAAGUUGGAUGUGAAAUCCCCGGGCUCAACCUGGGAACUGCAUUCAAAACUGACUGACUAGGGUAUGGUAGAGGGUGGUGGAAUUUCCUGUGUAGCGGUGAAAUGCGUAGAUAUAGGAAGGAACACCAGUGGCGAAGGCGACCACCUGGACUAAUACUGACACUGAGGUGCGAAAGCGUGUGGAGCAAACA
rnacentral:rRNA from 1 species